CACCUAUAAAAAUUCUUCUUCUUCCACACCCUUCUUGCUAAGAGACAACAGCGUUUCCAAGUCCAACGCAUUCAUGGGGUGGCGUGAAGGGCACCGUCCUGUAGAGCCUGGAAGACUUCCAUUACAGAGCUCAGUUCUCAGUUGUUGCAAGCCACUGGCUGCCUUCUUCUGGACACACUUAAUUUUUCAGAUCAUGGCAAUGACAUGGUGAAAACAGCUUGGAGGUGAAUUUUGAAAGGCCUGUGUGAGUAAAUGUUCCUUGACUCUAAAUAUCUGUCGUAGGCUCAGGAAUGUGUUCUUACAAAAGAAUCUGUGAAGGACCUGUUUUGCUUACUCAAGGAUCUCAUUUGCUAAUAUAAUUCUGUGGUGAAAGCAAAAGAACCAGGUGUAAGUGGAAAAAAAACCUUAGUCACUAAGGCUUGUUUGGGCUGCUCAGUGAUGAACACUGGGGUGACAGGUUCUCCUGCCAUGGUGAAUCCUGGCAAGAUUCGUCUGGCUCUCCGGACAUUAUGCAGCCCCAGCAUAUGUGGGAGGACGCCUGAAAGAAGUUUCGUCCUCAGGGGUCUCUCCUCUCCACCUACACACCUUGGAGAGCCUUCACCAGGGUGUGAUGGUGGCAAGUCUGGGACGCAUUCAUCAGAAGGUCCUGCUCUCAGCAGAAAUUUGGAGCCUCCUGAGUGA
ensembl:lncRNA